AGAGCUACGUCCAAGCGGAACUGGGGCGUCCCGGGCUCCUGCAACCUGAACACCCGGUGUGAAAGCAAGGUGACAGCGGGGGGGCGGGGCUGGGUGCUGCUCCUGCCCCUCGCCGAGUUGAGAGAGGCGGACCGGGAGAGGAGCAGGGUCGGGAUGGAGCGUCAGGAUGGACGAGGACGUGCUGACCACCCUGAAGAUCCUCACCAUCGGCGAGAGUGGCGUGGGCAAACCCAGCCUGCUCUUGAGGUUCACAGAUGAUACUUUUGAUCUGGAACUUGCAACAACAAUAGUUGGCUAAUAACAAAGAGGGGAAAACUAAAUCACAAACUCCAAAAUCCACUAUACUAGAAGGCAGCUAGAACCCCAAGCCGCAUUACAGGAGGAAUGGCUGCCAGAAGCGGUGGAAACUAAGCAGGCCUCCCAUGGGAAGAAGUGGAGAGGAUGCCACAGCUGCAGAGCUUGGAGCCAGCAAGAGAUGCUACGUGAAACUGAGAGGCCCCCCUGAGGUGCACAACCUGAUCCCUUGUUUUUAAAAGCAAAGCACAUUUCCUAAGCUAAUGGCAGGAGUUUCCCUGCAUCUGGUUUGAUCAUAGGAAGUUGGGGAAGUGAAGAUAAACAAGGAGUCACACAGACAAGAAUUUUGCAUUUGUCCGUCUUUAUAGCGGUAGAGGAGACGCCUUUGCCUUGUGAAAAACCUCAAGGCUGCCUAUCUCCUUUGGCUGUUGCGAAGUAAAAAACUAAAUGAUUCUCAUGUAAAACCCUGAAUCAAGACAAACUUUUGCUGGUGCAGAACUGAGCACUGUAGCCUUCUGCUUGAACCUCCUGCAAAUACCUUGUUCAGGAAUAGCUCAGCACUUUCAACAAUGACUUAGCAAAGAUAAUCCAGCUUAAGGCCACUACCACCAUUCAAGAAUCAAAAAGGAAGAAAUAGAAAAAGAACAAGUGAAGAAUACUCAUCAGAAAAAAAUAUUGCUGUAAAGAAGAUGAAAACAGGACUGAACAUUUUUUUUUUUUUAGUGGCCACACUCAACAGCAUGUAGAAGUUCCCAGGCUAGGAGUCAAAUUGGAGCCACAGCUGCCGGCCUACGCCACAGCCACAGAAAUGCAGGAUCCAAGCUGCAUCUGUGAUCUACACCACAGCUUAUGGCAACGCAGGAUUCUUAGCCCACUGAGUGAGGCCAGGGAUCGAACCUGCAUCCUCAUGGAUCCUAGUCAGGUUUGUUAUCAUUGAGCCAUGACGGGAAGUCCAGGAACAAACAUUUUGCUAUGAAUUUAAGAUCCUUAGUGGAAAUAUUUAGCACUGAGAGCACAAAACUGUGAUAUAAAAGGUCAGGGAAGAGACAGUAUAACUACAUGAGAAGACGCAGUGUAAGCUGAGUGGAAAGAAGAAUAAAUGAGAAAAUGAAACCAUCACUGAAAUGAAGGGGAAAUUGGAAGAAUCACAAGGGACGGUAAAGACUGGAAAACACAAUAAAGAAUUUAGAGCAAGAAAAUGAUUGAUAAGGAAAUCAAAAAAGGAAUGAAUGGCAUGUCUUUUUCAGUCUCAGAAGAGACAGUGAAAUACAGCCAAUAUUUAAUGAUAUAAUCCAAGGUAACAUUUAUGACAUAAAAAUAAACAUAAAUACACACAAAGUUGUAAGAAUAUUUUGACCAGAUUUUUGUUUUUUGGGGGGUGGAUGGGGGUGAGGGGGAGGCAUUAGGUUUCUUUUUUUGCUACAGCAAAGCCAUACGAUGGUAUUCAGUCAGGUUUUUACCUGAGGUCCUUAGUCAGCUGCCUAGAUACAGCUGAUUCAGAUAUAAGUGAGGUUUUUAGAUCCUCAAAGUAGUUACAUUAACUUUAUUUAGUCUGAUUAAAUAGGCUAAAUUGACUUCAUGCUUUUUGUUUUUUUAAAUUUACCCUCUUUUUUGGUAACCUUUGAAUAUGAAGAGAGUGCUUUAAGUAAGCCUUUUUUUUUAAAUAAAAAUAUUAGAAAACUUAAAACUGUUUCUCUAAGACAGGCUCACAAGGUAUUUCUUAAUCUGAAAGACUUGUUUUUUGAGGGUUGACACAUUUCAACUAAAGUUAGACAAAUUUUGGUUAUUGUUGGUUGACUGAGAUCAUUGAGUCUUAUCACUCCCUUGCUAAGUUUUUAAAAAUACCAAUGGCUGUUUGGCUUCAGAGGACAGAUAUCAAGUCUGUUCCAUCCACAAGUUACCUUAUAGUUUGGGCUUCCUUAACAAAAAGAUAAUUAAAAUGGAAAGUAGUUCAUACAUCUUGUUCAGUGCCAUUGCAUAAACUUGUUAAAACAAUUGGGCAUAUGAGACAAUUCAAAUAAAAGUAGAACUAUUUCAUACAGUUUCAUUCUAUGAAACAUUUUAAAUGGAAUAAAGCAGUAAAAAUGGCUCUACAUUUCUUUAUUUUUUUUUUUUACUUUGAACAGUAGGACUUGUUUAUUCCUUAAUACACAGCAAUAUUAACUAAAAUGCACAAACAGAACAAUGGCUAGACAGUCUGAACCUGUCUUUAGAGCACUGAACCCUUCUCUGCACUUCCUUCCCUGUCCCUCCAACCCCCACCACCCCAGUGAUCAGUCAGCAUAGUCUCCAAGGCUCAAGUUUAACAAUCCCAUUCCUCACAUGUGACCAUUCCUAUGAAUUCACAGAAAAAAUACUUAAAAGGUGUUACUUUAUCUACUUUUAACAUAUGUUGUACACUUUUAAACAUCCAGAAAGACUAGAUGUUUCAAAUAAGGAUUUAAGUUUACAUACAUGUGGUAUUGAACAAAUUGCACACAAAGGCCAUAAUCUCAAAGUGUCUUCUAAACAGGAACAUUGGCCUAGAACCCUUCCCCUUCUUAUCUCUGUCAACCUAGUGGACAGGUGUAAUAAGCACUUAGAAGGGACUUUAACAAUUUCACCUCCUCCAGUCGUUUUCAAAACAAUCUUAAGAAUUUUAACACAAAGUAUACACAAUGUAUUUAUUUUCUCACUACUUUUGUCAUACAUUGGCAACCUCUUUAACAUCUAGGAAGAUGAGAUGUAAAUUUGGGUGUUUAUCCUUUAUGUACACUAUAUAUAUACCUAAGUAAAACAGAAUGCACAGACAUACAGGGCAAUGGUUAAACUUGCCUAACUAUAAACAUAUUUAUUGGAAUAAAGCCCUUGUACUUUCUUCUUCCUCCUUGAACCAGCACAAAUGUGCACUGCUCAGAGAGGUGGUUUGAUUAUUCCAUUUCUGAAGGGCAGUACUUCAUGAAUGUUAACAAAAGGCUAUCUACAAAAUGUUAUUUUACUACCUCUACUUUUAACAUGCUUUGUGUACUUCUAAACAUCUAGAAAGACAAGAUGUUUCAAAUAAGGACUUAAGUUUGUCCACUGUAUACACAGUAGUGUUGAAUAAACCACAUGUUAGCAAUGGUUAUAUCUGAAAGUGUCUUCUACACAGGAACACUCGAGUUUAGCACCCUUCAUUUCUCCUAACUCCUCCUUUCCACAGUCCAUCCAACAGUGGGUGGGUGCAGGCACAUGUGUCACUUAGAUGUGAUUUACAAUUUCAUUUUCAAAGGUCCUUUUCAGAAAACAGCCUUUCAAUGAAAUUUUACGCAAGCGUACAAAACAUGUUAGUUUACUAACUCUACUUUAGUCAUAUAUUAGCAACCUCUUUUUAACAUCUAGAGACUACGCAUUAUAAAAUUGGGCCCAUUUGUCCAGCAUAUACAAAAUGCAUGUAACAAGAACAACUGAUAAGUUGAAAUUUUUUAGUACACACUAGCAAAACAUCUUUUGCAAUCUUCCCUCCCACUUCCUUCAGCCCAAGGAACAAGUAGAGUAUAGGGUCAGAAAGGAGGUUUAACAAUUCCAUUUCCCAAGACAGUAUUUCCCACAUUUUAAAAAGCUAUUUACAAGAAGCAUUAUUUUACUACUACUACUUUUAAAUACAUCAAGCACUUCUAAAUACCCAGAAAGACUAGAUAUUUCAUAUAAGAACUUACUUGUCCACUAUGUACACAGCACUGUUCAAUAAAAUUGCACACAUGUAACAAUGGUUAUAAUCUGAGGUAUCUUCUAAAUAUGACCAUUUUGGCCUGAAGCAUUCCCUCCCUCACUUCCUUCUCUCCACCAUCCAUUCAGUGCACAAAUACAGGCAUGCGCAAUGCUUAAGGGUGAUUGAACAAAUUCAUAUCCAAAAAUCAUUUACAGAAGACAAACUUUCCAAUGCAUUUCAACACAAAGUGUACAAAAUGUGCGAAUUUACUCCUUUGUUUUACAUCAGCAACCUCUUUAACAUCUAGAGACUAGAUGUUGCAAAAUUAGGACUCAUUUGUCCAUUAUAUACACUAUAUACACAGCAAAGCAAAAUGCACCUAACAUACAAAAAAUAGUUUUGUCUGAAAAUGUACAGGUACAAACACACUAGCAUAUUACUUUUGCAAUUCUUUCCCUCCCACCUCCUCAAAAUUACUACUCAGAGAGGUAGUAGUGAGUAUUUCCAAAAGACGGUAUUUCCUAUGAAUUUCAGCAAAAAGAUAUUUACAAAGUGCUAUUUUACCACCUCUACAUUUUAACAUACGUAGGGCACCUCUAAACAUCUGGGGGACUAGAUGUUUCAAAUAAGGACUUAAUUUGUCCACUGUAUACAGAGCAGUCUUGAAUAAACUGCAACAUGUAACAGUUAUAAUCUGAAAGUGUCUUUGAAAUAUGAGCAUUCCAGCCUAAGACCACCCAUCCCUUUCCCUCUUCCUUCCCCUCCAGCAACCCAGACGGCUAUAAUGCUCCAAUUUUCAGGAGACAAUCUUUCCCAGAAAUUUUAACACAAAAUGUAUUCAUUUACUAACUCUAUUUCUGUCAUACACUGGCAAAACCUCUUUAACAUCUAGAAAAGCCAGAUGUUAUAAAUGAGGACUCAUUUGUCCAUUUAUAUACACUACCUACACAGCAAAGUGAAACAAAAUGCACAUAAAAAGGACAAUGGUUAAUCUUGUCUCACUGUAAACACUGGCAUAGAGCUCUUUGCACUUCCUUCUCCUCCCCUGACCUUGAACCAGUGCACAAAACACAAUGCCCUGUUCAAAGAGGUGGUUUGGCCAUCCCUCCCUCCCCCCAAAUAAACAAUAUUUCAUAUGCAUUUUAACAAAAAGAUAUUUAUAAAAUGUCUUUUUACUACCUCUACUUUUAACAUAUAUCAGGCACUUCAGAAUAUCUACAAAGCCUAGUUUUGUUUUUUUUUUUGGUCUUUUUGCCUUUUCUAGGGCUGAUCCCCCGGAAGCAUAUGGAGGUUCCCAGGCUAGGGGUCGAAUCAGAGCUAUAGCCGCCAACCCACACUAGAGUCACAGCAACGUGGGAUCCGAGCCGUGUCUUCAAUCUACACCACAGCUCACGGCAACGCUGGAUCUGUAACCCACUGAGCAAGGCCAGGGAUCGAACCUGCAAACUCAGGGUUUCUAAUCAUAUUCGUUAACCACUGAGCCACGACGUGAACUCUGUACAAAGCCUAGAUAUUUCUAAAAAGUACUUAUUGUCAACUAUAUAUACAGCAGUGAGAAAUAAAAUGCACAUACAAAACAAUGGAUAUAAUCUGGAAAUGUCUUCUAAGCAAGACCAGUCUAGCACAGAAUCUCCUCCUCAAAGUCUUCCACUCCAUGUCCUCUAACCCACUGAACAAAUGUGGAUUUCUGUUGCUCCUGAUAUUGCUUCCAGAGGUGGUCAAACAAUUUCAUCUCAAAAAGUCAUUUCCAGGAGACAUUCCUUUUCUA
rnacentral:lncRNA from 1 species